AUUGAACGCUGGCGGCAUGCCUUACACAUGCAAGUCGAACGGUAACGGGCCUUCGGGUGCCGACGAGUGGCGAACGGGUGAGUAAUACAUCGGAACGUGCCCGAUCGUGGGGGAUAACUAGGCGAAAGCUUUGCUAAUACCGCAUACGAUCUACGGAUGAAAUCAGGGGACCGCAAGGCCUUGCGCGGACGGAGCGGCCGAUGGCAGAUUAGGUAGUUGGUGGGAUAAAAGCUUACCAAGCCGACGAUCUGUAGCUGGUCUGAGAGGAUGAUCAGCCACACUGGAAAUGAGACACGGCCCAGACUCCUACGGGAGGCAGAAGUGGGGAAUUUUGGACAAUGGGCGCAAGCCUGAUCAAGCCAUGCCGCGUGCAGGAUGAAGGCCUUCGGGUUGUAAACUGCUUUUGUACGGAACGAAAAGCCUUCUUUUAAUACAGGAGGGUCAUGACGGUACCGUAAGAAUAAGCACCGGCUAACUACGUG
rnacentral:rRNA from 1 species